AACCCUGAACGGUGGAUCACUUGGCUCGUGGGUCGAUGAAGGGCGCUGCAAACUGCGCGUCGUCGUGUGAACUGCAGGACACAUGAACAUCGACAUUUUUGAACGCACAUUGCGGUCCAUGGGAUUCCAUUCCCGGACCACACCCGUCUGAGGGUCC